CUUGCCCAUAUAAGAGGUCCAGCCUGCCCAGUGACAUUGUUCAACGGCCGCGGUAUCCUAACCGUGCGAAGGUAGCGUAAUCACUUGUUCUUUAAAUAAGGACUAGUAUGAAAGGCACCACGAGAGUCAUACUGUCUCCUUUCCCUAAUCAGUGAAACUAAUCUCCCCGUGAAGAAGCGGGGAUAAAAAUAUAAGACGAGAAGACCCUAUGGAGCUUUAAACAAAUAACAAUUGCCCCUUAUUUCCUUAUUUCAGAAAAAUUUUCUAUCCUGGCAUCAUGAUUAUUAGUUUUCGGUUGGGGUGACCACGGAACAAAAACCAACCUCCGCAAUGAAAGCACCCACUCGCUUAAUUAAGGACUACAACCCUACACAUCAAUAAAUUGACACUAAUUGACCCAACACGUUGAUCAAUGAAC
rnacentral:rRNA from 1 species